rnacentral:rRNA from 1 species
CCUACGGGGGACAGCAGUGAGGAAUAUUGGUCAAUGGGCGCGAGCCUGAACCAGCCAAGCCGCGUGAGGGAAGACGGCCCUAUGGGUUGUAAACCUCUUUUGUCGGAGAACAAAACCCGGGACGUGUCCCGGACUGCGUGUAUCCGAAGAAAAAGCAUCGGCUAACUCCGUGCCAGCAGCCGCGGUAAUACGGAGGAUGCGAGCGUUCUCCGGAUUUAUUGGGUUUAAAGGGUGCGUAGGCGGUCCGUUAAGUCAGCGGUAAAAUUGCGGGGCUCAACCCCGUCGAGCCGUUGAAACUGGCAGACUUGAGUUGGCGAGAAGUACGCGGAAUGCGCGGUGUAGCGGUGAAAUGCAUAGAUAUCGCGCAGAACUCCGAUUGCGAAGGCAGCGGACCGGCGCCAGACUGACGCUGAGGCACGAAAGCGUGGGGAUCGAACAGGAUUAGAUACCCCUGUAGUC